UCUGCUUUUCCCGCCGUCUUUGUCCACCUGCAUUGUCCUCAGCCUUGGCGCCGCUCACAAGCAUGGAAGGAACUUGCCUAUGGUGUAUUUCCUCAUCUUUUCAACCAUCGCCUUCUCUAUUCCUCAUUUCUACUUGAUCUGAAUUGUGAGGAAUGGUGCUUUCCUGAUAUAGUAUAUUGCAUGACGUCACCCACUAUUCCACCUCAUUUCCUGUUUCUUCUCUCUUUCUGUAUUCAGGCUGGACAGCAAUCUAACAACACACUGGUCAGCAUAAUCCACACAACACAGAGUGGGUGUAGUGAUGCUUGCAACUGUUUUAAGAGAAUUCACAGUCCAGAAUUUUCCUGACUAUUCCUGCCUGGAACAGUAUUACUAGAUAUGAUCUUUGCACUGUAAACCACUGUGACAAGGUUUAUUUUAAGUACUCAACAGUGUGAUGUUUCAAAGAAUAUUUCAAGGAUGCGUGUGCCACCUAGGUGGUCAAGGAUAGCAUGCCAAAUAUUGGUUGGCAGCCACCAUACUUUUAAUCUGUCAUUUUUUUUUCAAAACAUGUCUACAGAAACAUAAAAAAAUAACUGAUGGGUUGUUGGAAAUCAUUUGCUGACAAUUGACAGUUUGCCUGGAGCUGUGCAGAGACUGAAUUCUACUGUCACUCUAAUCAAUGUUAAAUUUACUCUGUAUCUAGAGUGUUUAGGUAGCACUAGGACAUGUUUGACAAUAUCCAUUCUAUUUGGAACCUAAGAAAAUGAGAAAACAUUGAGCAGAAGGCAAUUGCCACUUACAGUCCCAGAGAAAGAUCAGUUCUUGUUAAAAAUUAUAUCCUUUUAAAAAUGAGGUAAAUCUUCCAUUGUAGCCAUUUCCCAUGAUUCCCUAACUCCUGAUACUAUUCAUCAUCAUCAAGACACCUUAGGCUGAAAUCUUGGUGUUAUAAAAAUUCUUCUCCCUUCCUUUGGUUUCUUUUAAACUGAGAUUUUUUUCCAUUCCAUUUAUUCCUGCCUGUGUUUUAUUCCUAGCGUUUUAGAGAUCACCUAAUUAAAGUACCUUUUUACCCAAUUCUCUCUAUCCAGACAUUGAGCAUUGAGGGGUGGGGGUGGUGAUAUGUUGCAGAGAGAUAGGGUUGAAUCCCUGGAGGUCUGCCUUAACACCCUCAUGGCCUUAUUAAACUAUCAUGUCAGAGGACCCUAUAAAAAAGGCCUUUGCUUUUGUCCUGUGAAUUUCCUCUCAGAUUGAUUGCAUCAUCCAUGUCACUUAAUCUCCAUUAAUGAAAAAUGGUGAAACAGAUCAGAAGCUUUUCCUAACUUGCUCCUCCUAUUCCCAUGGGUGGUUAACUACCAUUUCCCUAUGCUCC
rnacentral:lncRNA from 1 species